rnacentral:lncRNA from 1 species
UCACAUUAUGAUAAUAAUAAAUGUAAUAUAUUCUGUUAUGUACAUAAACUUCACUUGAAGAUACAAUUAUAGAAAUAAUUAUGAAAAUAGUUGAUAUGUAUGUUAUGGGAGGUGAAGACUAUGCAUAAAUAGUUAUCUUGAGCUAAAACUUUCUGAAAUUUCAAUUUUGUUUAUGUGAUACAAAUAUAUAUAUUUUUUGGUUCAUAUGUAUCUAAUCUUCCUUCUGUUUUUUUAUCAAGAACUUUUCCCUAUUUUUGAUUCUUAUAUUCUAGAGAUGAGGACGUUGAGAUGGAUGUGUGGGCAUACUAAGAGAUAUAAGAUUAGGAAUGAAGAUAUUCGAGACAAGGUAGGAGUGACCUCAAUAGAAAACGAAAUUAUGAUGAUUUGAGCAUGUGCAGAGGAGAUGCACAAAUGUUCCAGUGCGGCGGUGUGG